rnacentral:rRNA from 1 species
CCUACGGGAGGCAGCAGUGGGGGAUAUUGCACAAUGGGGGGAACCCUGAUGCAGCGACGCCGCGUGGGUGAAGAAGCGCCUCGGCGCGUAAAGCCCUGUCAGCAGGGAAGAAAAUGACGGUACCUGAAGAAGAAGCCCCGGCUAACUACGUGCCAGCAGCCGCGGUAAUACGUAGGGGGCAAGCGUUAUCCGGAUUUACUGGGUGGAAAGGGGGCGCAGACGGCAAUGCAAGCCAGGAGGGAAAGCCCGGGGCCCAACCCCGGGACUGCUCUUGAAACUGCGUGGCUGGAGUGCAGGAGGGGCAGGCGGAAUGCCUGGUGUAGCGGUGAAAUGCGUAGAUAUCAGGAGGAACACCGGUGGCGAAGGCGGCCUGCUGGACUGCAACUGACGUUGAGGCCCGAAAGCGUGGGGAGCAAACAGGAUUAGAUACCCCGGUAGUC